rnacentral:sRNA from 1 species
AUCAACUUUCGAUGGUAGGAUAGAGGCCUACCAUGGUGGUAACGGGUAACGGGGUGUUAGGGCACGACACCGGAGAGGGAGCCUGAGAAACGGCUACCACAUCCAAGGAUGGCAGCAGGCGCGCAAAUUACCCAAUCCCGACACGGGGAGGUAGUGACAAUAAAUAACAAUACGGGGUUCUUACGGAUCUCGUAAUUGGAAUGAGUACAAUUUAAAUCUCUUAACGAGGAACAAUUGGAGGGCAAGUCUGGUGCCAGCAGCCGCGGUAAUUCCAGCUCCAAUAGCGUAUAUUAAAGUUGUUGCAGUUAAAAAGCUCGUAGUUGAAUUUCGGGAUCAAUAUGUCGGUCGUGCCUCGGUACGUACUGGCAUCAUUGGUUUCUCCCUUCUGAUGAACCAUGAUGCCAUUAAUUUGGUGUCGUGGGGAAUCAGGACUGUUACUUUGAAAAAAUUAGAGUGUUUAAAGCAGGCUCACGCUUGAAUACAUUAGCAUGGAAUAAUGAAAUAGGACGUUUGAUUCUAUUUUGUUGGUUUCUAGGAUCGACGUAAUGAUUAAUAGGGAUAGUUGGGGGCAUUAGUAUUCAAUUGUCAGAGGUGAAAUUCUUGGAUUUAUGAAAGACUAACUUCUGCGAAAGCAUUUGCCAAGGAUGUUUUCAUUAAUCAAGAACGAAAGUUAGGGGAUCGAAGACGAUCAGAUACCGUCGUAGUCUUAACCAUAAACUAUGCCGACUAGGGAUCGGGCGGUGUUAUUAUUUUGACUCGCUCGGCACCUUACGGGAAACCAAAGUGUUUGGGUUC